GGCGGGAUGGCGCAGUUGGUAGCGCGCAGGGUUCAUAACCCUGAGGUCGAAAGUUCAAGUCUUUCUCCCGCAA
rnacentral:tRNA from 1 species